UACGUAGGGGGCAAGCGUUGUCCGGAUUUAUUGGGCGUAAAGAGCGUGUAGGCGGUCAGGUAGGUCCGUUGUGAAAACUCGAGGCUCAACCUCGAGACGCCGAUGGAAACCAUCUGACUAGAGUCCGGAAGAGGAGAGUGGAAUUCCUGGUGUGAGCGGUGAAAUGCGCAGAUAUCAGGAAGAACACCCGUGGCUAAGGCGGCUCUCUAGUACGGUACUGACGCUGAGACGCGAAAGCGUGGGAGCGAACAGGAUAGAUA
rnacentral:rRNA from 1 species